GACGAACGCUGGCGGCGUGCUUAACACAUGCAAGUCGAACGAUGAUGCCCAGCUUGCUGGGCGGAUUAGUGGCGAACGGGUGAGUAACACGUGAGUAACCUGCCCUUGACUUCGGGAUAACUCCGGGAAACCGGGGCUAAUACCGGAUAUGAGCCGUCCUCGCAUGGGGGUGGUUGGAAAGUUUUUCGGUCAGGGAUGGGCUCGCGGCCUAUCAGCUUGUUGGUGGGGUGAUGGCCUACCAAGGCGACGACGGGUAGCCGGCCUGAGAGGGCGACCGGCCACACUGGGACUGAGACACGGCCCAGACUCCUACGGGAGGCAGCAGUGGGGAAUAUUGCACAAUGGGCGAAAGCCUGAUGCAGCGACGCCGCGUGAGGGAUGAAGGCCUUCGGGUUGUAAACCUCUUUCAGCAGGGAAGAAGCGCAAGUGACGGUACCUGCAGAAGAAGCGCCGGCUAACUACGUGCCAGCAGCCGCGGUAAUACGUAGGGCGCAAGCGUUGUCCGGAAUUAUUGGGCGUAAAGAGCUCGUAGGCGGUUUGUCGCGUCUGGUGUGAAAACUCGAGGCUCAACCUCGAGCUUGCAUCGGGUACGGGCAGACUAGAGUGCGGUAGGGGAGACUGGAAUUCCUGGUGUAGCGGUGGAAUGCGCAGAUAUCAGGAGGAACACCGAUGGCGAAGGCAGGUCUCUGGGCCGCAACUGACGCUGAGGAGCGAAAGCAUGGGGAGCGGACAGG
rnacentral:rRNA from 1 species